rnacentral:lncRNA from 1 species
ACUCAUCAGUUAAAAGUGAUCUUCCACGUGGACAAGUUGUGUUUUUGCUCAGUUUGUGUAUUUCUCAGUGUGUAUAGUUUAAUUAAUUAAAGUAAAAAAUGCCUCGUAAAUUAGCAGAGAAACUCGUAGAACUUCCAGUGAACAGUUGUCUCGAAGAAAUAAACGGAAGAACGUUUUUAAUCCGAAAACCGUGGAAUAUGAUGAUAGCAGUUUGAUUAUGAGGCCUUACCACCUGAUGUUGCAACAGCUAUUUUUCCAAUUUACGAAGAUCUAAGUAACAAAAAUUAUUGGAACGAUGCGUUGGUGGUUUUACCCAGAACAAUAAUGAAAGUUAUAAUCAGCUGAUAUGGAAAAUAACUCCAAAAAUUAUUCCAGCUGGCUCUAAAAUUGUGGAAAUAGCUGCAAACAUUGCAGCCGGGGUCUUUAAUGAAGGUAAAACAUCUCUUCUUUAUUAUAUGAGUGCUAUGGGAUUAUCACUUGGACCCAAUGCUCAUUCCUUCGUGAGUAAAGAGGACGCAGAGCGCAUCUCAAUUUCGGACGCAAGAGCGCAAGGGUCGACGCGCGAGGGGAGAAUGGCUCGUAGACAACAACAACUAAACAUUUUGGAUGCAAACGACGAAGUAGAGGGUUCCUCUUAUGGUACUGGAAUAGAUGACACGAUAUAAUUUGGACCAGAGAUAUCUUGUACACCGCCAAGCACUUUUUUUUGGAGGUCUCUCCGCAGAUCAUCUACAGGAGCUAGGGGAUCCAAUAUUUUUUUAAAUAAACCGCUGAUUGUUAAAGUACAUUAAAUUCUCUUUAAGUACAUUUUUUCAAUUAAUGUAUAAAAUAAAAUGCCUCGUCGGAAAAAAUUCACAAAAAAA